UACGGAGGGUGCAAGCGUUAUCCGGAUUCACUGGGUUUAAAGGGCGAGUAGGUGGGUUGGUAAGUCAGUGGUGAAAUCCCCGAGCUUAACUUGGGAACUGCCAUUGAUACUAUCAGUCUUGAAUACUGUGGAGGUUAGCGGAAUAUGUCAUGUAGCGGUGAAAUGCUUAGAUAUGACAUAGAACACCAAUUGCGAAGGCAGCUGGCUACACAAUUAUUGACACUGAGGCUCGAAAGCGUGGGGAUCAAACAGG
rnacentral:rRNA from 1 species